rnacentral:rRNA from 1 species
GGAGGAUCAUUAACGAGUUAGGGUCUCUCUGGCCCGACCUCCCAACCCUUUGUCUACUUGACCAUCGUUGCUUCGGCGAGCCCGUCCUCACGGACCGCCGGAGGGAUCUUUACUGGCCCUCUGGUCCGCGCUCGUCGGUAGCCCAACCUUUAAAAUCUUUAACUAAACGUGCCUUAAUCUAAGUACAAUUAUUAAAUAAAAGCAAAACUUUCAACAACGGAUCUCUUGGUUCUGGCAUCGAUGAAGAACGCAGCGAAAUGCGAUAAGUAAUGCGAAUUGCAGAAUUCCAGUGAGUCAUCGAAUCUUUGAACGCACAUUGCGCCCUUUGGUAUUCCGAAGGGCAUGCCUGUUCGAGCGUCAUUAUCACCCCUCAAGCCCUCGGCUUGGUGUUGGACGGUUUGGUGGAGGCCCCCUCGGGGGCUCCUGCCCCUCCCAAAGACAAUGACGGCGGCCUCGUUGGACCCCCGGUACACUGAGUUCUUCACGGGACACGUAUCGGACACAUGGGUUUACGGGACACGGUCUGCCUCCCCUCAGGGAGAAUCUUUCUAAGGUUGACCUCGGAUCAGGUAGGGAUACCCGCUGAACUUAAGC